rnacentral:rRNA from 1 species
GAUGAACGCUAGCGGCAGGCCUAACACAUGCAAGUCGAGGGGCAGCACAGGUAGCAAUACUGGGUGGCGACCGGCGGAUGGGUGCGUAACGCGUAGGUAACCUGCCCUGGAGUGGGGAAUAAUUCCGCUAACGCGGGACUAAUACCGCAUAGGCUCGGUAGCGUGAGGCUACUGCGUAAAGCUGAGAGGCGCUUCAGGAUGGGCCUGCGGCGGAUUAGCUAGUUGGUAGGGUAACGGCCUACCAAGGCAACGAUCAGUAACUGGUGUGAGAGCACGGCCAGUCACACGGGCACUGAGAUACGGGCCCGACUCCUACGGGAGGCAGCAGUAAGGAAUAUUGGUCAAUGGGCGAAAGCCUGAACCAGCCAUGCCGCGUGCAGGAUGAAGGCCCUCUGGGUUGUAAACUGCUUUUAUCUGGGAAGAAACACCCCGUUUCUACGGGCUUGACGGUACCAGAGGAAUAAGCACCGGCUAACUCCGUGCCAGCAGCCGCGGUAAA